UACGUAGGGUGCAAGCGUUGUCCGGAAUUAUUGGGCGUAAAGAGCGUGUAGGCGGCCCGGUUAGUCCGCUGUGAAAGUCCAGGGCUCAACCCUGGAAUGCCGGUGGAUACUGUCGGGCUAGAGUCCGGAAGGGGCGAGUGGAAUUCCUGGUGUAGCGGUGGAAUGCGCAGAUAUCAGGAGGAACACCAAUAGCGAAGGCAGCUCGCUGGGACGUUACUGACACUGAGGCGCGAAAGCGUGGGGAGCGAACAGG
rnacentral:rRNA from 1 species